rnacentral:snoRNA from 1 species
CAUCUGCUUGACAGACCAAGAACAGUUACUGUCUGUGCUACUGAGGUUUCUACUACAGAUUAAAAAAAAAAAUGCCCUUGUGCUUUCCGUCUGUCCGAUUGUGGCAGCCAAGCUUGAAGGAGGGAAAUACAGGA